rnacentral:rRNA from 1 species
GAACGCUGGCGGCGUGCUUGAUACAUGCAAGUCAAGGAGAACAUUAUCUUCGGAUAAUAAGUAAACUGGCGAACGGGUGAGUAACGCGUAAACAACUUGCCUCAGAGAUUGGGACAACAUUGGGAAACCAGUGCUAAUACCAAAUAAUGCAGCGGGCUCUUCGGAGCACAGUUGUUAAAGUAGGCUUCGGCUUACACUUUGAGAUAGGUUUGCGUCCGAUUAGUUAGUUGGUAGGGUAAUUGCCUACCAAGACCAAGAUCGGUAGCUGGUCUGAGAGGAUGAUCAGCCACACUGGAAUUGAGAUACGGUCCAGACUCCUACGGGAGGCAGCAGUAAGGAAUUUUGCACAAUGGGCGAAAGCCUGAUGCAGCAACGCCGCGUGAACGAUGAAGUUUUUAGGAAUGUAAAGUUCUGUCGUAUGGGAAGAGAUCUUUCGAAUGUUAAUACCAUUCGUUAAUGACGGUACCACGCAAGAAAGCACCGGCUAACUUCGUGCCAGCAGCCGCGGUAAUACGAGGGGUGCUAGCGUUGUCCGGAUUUACUGGGCGUAAAGGGUACGUAGGCGUUUUAAUAAGUUGUAUGUUAAAUAUCUUAGCUUAACUAAGAAAGUGCAUCCAAAACUGUUAAAAUAGAGUUUGAGAGAGGAACGCAGAAUUCAUGGUGGAGCGGUGACAUGCGUAGAUAUCAUGAGGAAAGUCAAAUGCGAAGGCAGCCUUCUGGCUCAAAACUGACGCUGAGGUACGAAAGCGUGGGGAGCGAACAGGAUUAGAUACCCUGGUAGUCCACGCCGUAAACGAUGAGUAUUUGGUGCUGGGGGAUUCGACCCUUUCAGUGCCGUAGCUAACGCGAUAAAUACUCCGCCUGGGGACUACGAUCGCAAGAUUGAAACUCAAAGGAAU